GGGGAGGUUGCAUUUCCCGGAGGAAAGGCAGAGGAGGGUGAUGCUGAUGAUGCAGCAACAUCAUUAAGGGAGGCAAAGGAGGAGAUUGGGCUUAAUCCAGCCUUGGUCACUGUCGUUUCCUCGCUUGAGCACUUCUUGCCCAAGUUGUUUCAUCGCUGUGAGGGCCUGGUGUUCAACGACCUCCCCGUGCGUUCGACGAGCUCCGCCCCUGCGUUCGUGGGCUGCUAUUGAGGCAGAGAGAGCGAAGACCCAUGCUGCUUUUGAGGAGAGGGACCGGCAGGCGGCGGAGAGGGACAGGG